rnacentral:lncRNA from 1 species
AAGAAGAUGCAGGAACUUUGCUCUGACUCUGGAAUCCACAUGCAGCCUGUUCUUCGUCGACCAUUUUAAAGAACUGAAGUUGAAGACUAGAAGUAGAACUCGAAUCGAUCAAUCGACCCCCCCAAGUUCAAAGCAUCUGGACUGGAAUCAUAAUCACAGACGGCUAAGAACUUAGAAUAUUGGAAUCGACGGAUUUUGGGAAGCAGCGCAAUUACUGAUUUACAGUCUGUGAAUUGAAUUGAGAGAGAGAGAACUCGAGAGUCGAGACUCGAGAGAGAGACGAGAGAGAGAGACGAGAGAGAGAAUGGAGAUGGAAG